rnacentral:ncRNA from 1 species
AAAGUGGCCUACGCUACCGCGAUGGACUGGUUCAUAGCCGUGUGCUACGCCUUU